rnacentral:rRNA from 1 species
GGGGAAUAUUGCACAAUGGGGGAAACCCUGAUGCAGCAACGCCGCGUGAGCGAAGAAGGCCUUCGGGUCGUAAAGCUCUGUCCUAAGGGAAGAAGUUAGUGACGGUACCUUAGGAGGAAGCCCCGGCUAACUACGUGCCAGCAGCCGCGGUAAUACGUAGGGGGCGAGCGUUAUCCGGAAUCACUGGGCGUAAAGGGUGCGUAGGCGGCCAACAAAGUCUGGGGUGAAAGGCUACGGCUUAACCGUAGUAAGCCUUGGAAACUUGAUGGCUUGAGUGCAGGAGAGGAGAGUGGAAUUCCUAGUGUAGCGGUGAAAUGCGUAGAUAUUAGGAGGAACACCAGUGGCGAAGGCGACUCUCUGGACUGUAACUGACGCUGAGGCACGAAAGCGUGGGGAGCAAAC